rnacentral:rRNA from 1 species
GCUACACAUGCAGUCGAGCGGUAGCACAGAGAGCUUGCUCUCGGGUGACGAGCGGCGGAGGGUGAGUAAUGUCUGGGAAACUGCCUGAUGGAGGGGGAUAACUACUGGAAACGGUAGCUAAUACCGCAUAACGUCGCAAGACCAAAGUGGGGGACCUUCGGGCCUCAUGCCAUCAGAUGUGCCCAGAUGGGAUUAGCUAGUAGGUGGGGUAACGGCUCACCUAGGCGACGAUCCCUAGCUGGUCUGAGAGGAUGACCAGCCACACUGGAACUGAGACACGGUCCAGACUCCUACGGGAGGCAGCAGUGGGGAAUAUUGCACAAUGGGCGCAAGCCUGAUGCAGCCAUGCCGCGUGUGUGAAGAAGGCCUUCGGGUUGUAAAGCACUUUCAGCGGGGAGGAAGGCGAUAAGGUUAAUAACCUUGUCGAUUGACGUUACCCGCAGAAGAAGCACCGGCUAACUCCGUGCCAGCAGCCGCGGUAAUACGGAGGGUGCAAGCGUUAAUCGGAAUUACUGGGCGUAAAGCGCACGCAGGCGGUCUGUCAAGUCGGAUGUGAAAUCCCCGGGCUCAACCUGGGAACUGCAUUCGAAACUGGCAGGCUAGAGUCUUGUAGAGGGGGGUAGAAUUCCAGGUGUAGCGGUGAAAUGCGUAGAGAUCUGGAGGAAUACCGGUGGCGAAGGCGGCCCCCUGGACAAAGACUGACGCUCAGGUGCGAAAGCGUGGGGAGCAAACAGGAUUAGAUACCCUGGUAGUCCACGCCGUAAACGAUGUCGAUUUGGAGGUUGUGCCCUUGAGGCGUGGCUUCCGGAGCUAACGCGUUAAAUCGACCGCCUGGGGAGUACGGCCGCAAGGUUAAAACUCAAAUGAAUUGACGGGGGCCCGCACAAGCGGUGGAGCAUGUGGUUUAAUUCGAUGCAACGCGAAGAACCUUACCUGGUCUUGACAUCCACAGAACUUUCCAGAGAUGGAUUGGUGCCUUCGGGAACUGUGAGACAGGUGCUGCAUGGCUGUCGUCAGCUCGUGUUUGAAAUGUUGGGUUAAGUCCCGCAACGAGCGCAACCCUUAUCCUUUGUUGCCAGCGGUUCGGCCGGGAACUCAAAGGAGACUGCCAGUGAUAAACUGGAGGAAGGUGGGGAUGACGUCAAGUCAUCAUGGCCCUUACGACCAGGGCUACACACGUGCUACAAUGGCAUAUACAAAGAGAAGCGACCUCGCGAGAGCAAGCGGACCUCAUAAAGUAUGUCGUAGUCCGGAUUGGAGUCUGCAACUCGACUCCAUGAAGUCGGAAUCGCUAGUAAUCGUAGAUCAGAAUGCUACGGUGAAUACGUUCCCGGGCCUUGUACACACCGCCCGUCACACCAUGGGAGUGGGUUGCAAAAGAAGUAGGUAGCUUAACCUUCGGGAGGGCGCUACCACUUUGACAUG